GACGAACGCUGGCGGCGUGCUUAACACAUGCAAGUCGAACGGGCCCGCCCCUGUUUUUGGGGGUGGGUUGAGUGGCGAACGGGUGAGUAUCACGUGAGUAACCUGCCCCCUGCUCCUGGAUAACUGCUUGAAAGGGCGGCUAAUACGGGGUGUGCCGGCUGGUCCGCAUGGGCCUGGUCGGGAUAGUUUCAUCUUCGGGUGUUUCGGUGGGGGAUGGGCUCGCGGCCUAUCAGCUUGUUGGUGGGGUGAUGGCCCACCAAGGCGGUGACGGGUAGCCGGCCUGAGAGGGUGGGCGGCCACACUGGGACUGAGACACGGCCCAGACUCCUGCGGGAGGCAGCAGUGGGGGGUAUUGCACAAUGGGCGGAAGCCUGAUGCAGCGACGUCGCGUGAGGGAUGGAGGCCUUCGGGUUGUGAACCUCUUUCUCCGGUGGUGGAGGCCCUGUCCGUUGCGGCGGGGUUGACGGUAGCCGGGUAUGAAGCGCCGGCUAACUACGUG
rnacentral:rRNA from 1 species